GAAAAUCCCAUUGAAAAAAUGAAGAUGUGCAACGACAGACAAGAUAAAAGAAAAUUCACAUAUGUCACUUCACACGAUCCAGCAAGAGGUGUACCAAGACUGCUUCCAAAAGUGUAACCAAUAUUGGGAGCAGUGUAUCAACUAUGGAGGAGAGUAUUUUGAAGAAGAAUAAGUGAAAGGGUGAUCCAUGAGUGCAUCAAUUAAUGAACACACCUAUGAUGUUUCAGCAUUCUGUCAUGUACACAGCCCGCAGUGCAGCACUCAGAACAUCAUUAGUUUAAUUCUAACAAUCCUGUACCUACUACAGUAACUUGUACCUAUCAUGUACCAUUCAAAAGAAUUAUUUCUUUCUGUUAAUAAGCUUCUAAUGCAUUACAGUAGCUUAGUAGUUCAUUUGUAGGUAUUUAUGUCAAAUAAAAUUAAAAAUUUAGCACUCA